CAAUAGCGUAUAUUAAUGUUGUUGCAGUUAAAAAGCUCGUAGUUGAAUUUCUGGGUAGUCCUCUUUGUCUGCCUUCGCGGGUGUGAACAAAGUUCAGGUCUACUCAUCCUUCUGAAGAACCUAUGUGGCAUUCAGUUGUCAUGUAGGGGAUCAGAUACUUUACCUUGAAAAAAUUAGAGUGUUUCAGGCAGGCAAUCGCUGGAAUACAUUAGCAUGGAAUAAUCGAAUAGGACCCCGGUCUUAUUUGUUGGUUUUGUGGACCGAAGUAAUGAUUAAUAGGGAUAGUUGGGGGCAUUAGUAUUUAAUUGUCAGAGGUGAAAUUCAUGGAUUUGUUAAAGACUAACUUAUGCGAAAGCAUUUGCCAAGGAUGUUUNCAUUAA
rnacentral:rRNA from 1 species